CCGGCGAUGUCCGAAUGGGGAAACCCAGUGCAAUUCGUUGCACUAUCGUUAACUGAAUACAUAGGUUAACGAGGCGAACCGGGGGAACUGAAACAUCUAAGUACCCCGAGGAAAAGAAAUCAACCGAGAUUCCCCCAGUAGCGGCGAGCGAACGGGGAGCAGCCCAGAGUCUGAAUCAGCUUGUGUGUUAGUGGAACGGUCUGGAAAGUCCGACGGUACAGGGUGAUAGUCCCGUACACCAAAAUGCACAGGUUGUGAACUCGAAGAGUAGGGCGGGACACGUGGUAUCCUGUCUGAAUAUGGGGGGACCAUCCUCCAAGGCUAAAUACUCCUGACUGACCGAUAGUGAACCAGUACCGUGAGGGAAAGGCGAAAAGAACCCCGGCGAGGGGAGUGAAAAAGAACCUGAAACCGUGUACGUACAAGCAGUGGGAGCACCUUCGGGUGUGACUGCGUACCUUUUGUAUAAUGGGUCAGCGACUUAUAUUCUGUAGCAAGGUUAACCGUAUAGGGGAGCCGCAGGGAAACCGAGUCUUAACUGGGCGUUAAGUUGCAGGGUAUAGACCCGAAACCCGGUGAUCUAGCCAUGGGCAGGUUGAAGGUUGGGUAACACUAACUGGAGGACCGAACCGACUAAUGUUGAAAAAUUAGCGGAUGACUUGUGGCUGGGGGUGAAAGGCCAAUCAAACCGGGAGAUAGCUGGUUCUCCCCGAAAGCUAUUUAGGUAGCGCCUCGUGAACUCAUCUUCGGGGGUAGAGCACUGUUUCGGCUAGGGGGUCAUCCCGACUUACCAACCCGAUGCAAACUACGAAUACCGAAGAAUGUUAUCACGGGAGACACACGGCGGGUGCUAACGUCCGUCGUGAAGAGGGAAACAACCCAGACCGCCAGCUAAGGUCCCAAAGUCAUGGUUAAGUGGGAAACGAUGUGGGAAGGCACAGACAGCCAGGAUGUUGGCUUAGAAGCAGCCAUCAUUUAAAGAAAGCGUAAUAGCUCACUGGUCGAGUCGGCCUGCGCGGAAGAUGUAACGGGGCUAAACCAUGCACCGAAGCUGCGGCAGCGACACGAUGUGUUGUUGGGUAGGGGA
rnacentral:rRNA from 1 species